rnacentral:rRNA from 1 species
CAGGUAAGACCCCUUGAAGACUACGAGGUAGAUAGGCUGCAGGUGUACGCACGGUGACGUGUUGAGCUGGGCAGUACUAAUCGGUCGAGGGCUUGACCUU